UGUAACUGCGCCGAGUUCUGUUUCAUCCUCCAAAACGCGCCAGACAGGGGAAUGAUUCAAUGUAACUUUGCUGCAUCGAUCAGCUCUCUCUAAUGUUGCAGCGCAGCCUGGUAAACGCAAAGUGCCUCUCUGCUCUCCAUCAGAGCUGUUUACGAUCACAAAGCAGAGCUCUGUGUCCCUUCUAAUACAAAUAACUGCAACAUAGAGAGUUAGGUGUGGACUACAUAUAUUUUUAGAAGCUGCCCAAGUACAAUUUAGGACAGCUCAGGUGAUGUUGUCAUUAGUUUUUAGUUCUCUAAUGUUCAUUCAAAACAUUUUACACGAAGGCACACGCUGCUUCCUUGUGUGACAACAUGGACAAAUAGAAAAUCAGUCAAAAUAUCAGGAAGAUAAUUUUAAGGAAAAGGCUUCUGGAUGCACACGGGGAGUGAAGGCUACCUACUGUUGCCCAAAUUAGUGAAUAAGUUAGUGGUGGAUGUAAUAGAAAGAACGAGAAAUACAGAGUAUCUCCUUUUAUUGCAUAUGAUCAUAUAUCUGUGGACCAUUAAGGUUUCCCAUUUUAACCCCUGCAGACUCAACAUCAAAAUCAGGACCACACAGCUUUAGAAAAACUGGGCUUAUAUUCAUGAAUUAUUAUUAUUAUUAUUUUUUUUUUUUUCAAUUUUAUUGUUUUCGAUGACCAGAAGGGAACCACAUUGAACCAGGUGUACUUUGGGAAGACUGUAAGCUGGCAGAUGUAGUGUGAUGAUUUUGACAGUGUUCUUCUGGAAAACCUUUGGUUCUCCUGUUACAUGAACACGUGUUUGAGCUUUCAGUGGCCUGAGUUUUUAUUUGUGUUUUUGCAAACAAAAUAAGUGACUCAUAAAUCUGAAACCGUGUUUGAACUGUCUCUAUUCAGAGCUGAUUGAAGAAGUUCAAUUUUGUUCCGGUUAAGCACUUUUAUUUUUUUGAACUGUACAGUAAAAAGAAGAAACAUCAACACAGUGAAAUGUUCCUUGUUUAGUGCGGAACUUUAGAGUUAUUAACCCACUCAACCAUUGUUGCACAGCUUCAUUUUCUCACUAUGCAAAAUAACAGAAGGCCCCAGAUCCCCAUUCUGUGGAUGCAAACCCAUGAGAGAAGGGCAUCCAGGGCGCUGAACUACAUCGCAUGCAUCAAAACCCCUCACUGAGCACAUCUGCAUAAAUGAGUGUAGAGCUGCAGAUUCUGCACAAGCUGAGCUCAGUAUGAGUUCCCUAUCAGCAGCUCCGUCAAGCAAAAAUCGAUGUCGAAGUUUUCACUGGGUGGCCAUCGCUUCUCCUUCUAGCACUGGAUGAUCUCAGAGACUUCAGUGCAAACUAACUAGAGUUGGUGGGUUUUGGGGGUGGGAGGAAGCGGGGGGGGGGGGGCAACAACCAGUCAGCCCAUUACACACACCACCCCUGCAUAUAAGAGCUGAGAGGAAAAUCAAUAAAGAGUCCGAGCGAUGGUGGCUUACAUUAGUGACCCUGCUUAAUGCAACUCACAGGGGGAAUAUGGGAGCUUUAAAAAUCUGUCGUCAAUGUCUUUACCUCUGGAUCUUUGUGUUAAAUUACCUUUAAGUAAAAAAAAGUGAGAGAAUAACUGUAAGGUGUGAUGUUCCAUUAUUGUUGGCCAGACUCUGUUCUCCUACUCUUCUACUCCCUUCUCUUACAUGUAAACUUGUCAUAAUCCUACUUUUUAUUUAACUUUGUUGGCAUCCAAAGUGAAUUAACAUAGAAAACUUUGAAUAUAUACUUUUGUCAUCUAUAAUUGAUGCACUAGUUGCAUAUUUAGGAAACAAAGAUAAAGCCAAAAAUGGAAAACUGUUAGUAAAUAAACAAACAGCACAACUAAGA